AUCGUUCAAUCUGUAUUAACAGAUCGGAAGUAGGCCGAAGCUGAAGGAACGCGGA
rnacentral:ncRNA from 10 species